rnacentral:rRNA from 1 species
CCCAGACUCCUACGGGAGGCAGCAGUGGGGAAUAUUGCACAAUGGGGGGAACCCUGAUGCAGCGACGCCGCGUGAGUGAAGAAGUAUUUCGGUAUGUAAAGCUCUAUCAGCAGGGAAGAAAAUGACGGUACCUGACUAAGAAGCCCCGGCUAACUACGUGCCAGCAGCCGCGGUAAUACGUAGGGGGCAAGCGUUAUCCGGAUUUACUGGGUGUAAAGGGGGCGCAGACGGCAAUGCAAGCCAGGAGUGAAAGCCCGGGGCCCAACCCCGGGACUGCUCUUGGAACUGCAUGGCUGGAGUACAGGAGGGGCAGGCGGAAUUCCUAGUGUAGCGGUGAAAUGCGUAGAUAUUAGGAGGAACACCGGUGGCGAAGGCGGCCUGCUGGACUGUGACUGACGUUGAGGCCCGAAGGCGUGGGGAGCAAACAGGAUUAGAUACCCUGGUAUG